UCUAAGGAUUUAAUGCUCAAAAUCACCUUGGAUAAUUGGCUUAAGGGCUGGAAGUAGGCUUUUCUCUCCAUCCUCUACUCCUAAUGCUAUUUCCCCUCUGAGGGUACAUCUGUCAAUAAUUGAUGGAGCUUUCUUGGGCAAAUGAGCUGUUGCUGGGACAUUAUAAAUCAUAUUUGGAAUCAAGUUUAUUUUCAAGCUGCUUUAAAAGUCUCGAUGUGGUGCUAACUGAACAGAAAAUGCUAAAUGUUUGACGGAGUAGCACAAGCCCUGAAGGACUAAAGGUGUGAGCUGGACUUAGGAAAACAAAUGGAGUUUAUACUCUCUGAGAAAACAAGAACACACCUGUUUUUUCAAAAGAGUAAGUAGGUCUGGCAAGAACCUUCCAGAAGGAAACUGCUUGAGUACCUACUGGGUGCUGUGCACUGUGACCUGUGAUUCCCUCGCGGUGCCUGAGUUAAGCCUCACAACUCACUCAACUGGCAGGGAUUAUGGUCUCUCUUCUACAGAUGAGGAAACCGAGGCUCAGAAAGGUUGAAAACCUUCCCAGUGCACGCGGUGGGCAAGUGGCAGGCUUGAAAUUGGAAUCAAUCGAACUGUGACAUCCCGUCUCUUCUCGCUCUACCAGAAGUCAGACAGGCUCUGUGACAGGGUCUUCAGUCAGUGACAUCGCGAUAUUUGUUGUGUGUUUGGUGUUGAGACUGAGACCAUUGGCCCCAUCGCCGAACCUCACAGCUCUCUUGGCUCUGCUCCAACCAAUGCAGUUCCACUUUUAUCUGUUUUAUACAGAGAGCUUUGGCAUGAAAUUUUGAUAAAAAGAUUCUGCUGCUAAAUGUUUGAAGACCACAGCUGCACAAGAGGAGUGAAAGUCUUUCUUAUGAAAUACAGAUAUUAGUGUGUGUAAGAAUAUGUCUGAUAUGUAAAAAAUUGGGAACUAUUUUACUCCUUUCUCUGCUUCAAAGGACACACCCAAAGAACAUUCUCUACUGGCCCUACUCUAAGUGACCUGCAGGGAGCGGGCUGACUGCAGCCUCAGAGUCCCAGGUUUUCAGUUUUGCUCAGACAGGAAUCCACUAUGUGCUGUUAUUUUCCUUUCCUCAGUUUUCACAUCUGAUACUACUAUGCUCUACCAACCUCAGAAUCAUAUAGUGACGAUCAGAGGAGACCAAAGGGCAGUUUUUCUUCCUUGAAUCCAGGUGGCGGGCCCCUGCUGUCACGGCAGGUCUGGGUCAGGAGGAACAAGUCCUCAGGUCUCCAAGCGGACUGCUGGCAUUCUGUAGAGGUAUCAAAGUUCCUACAGAAAUCAGCCAUGACAGGACUCUAAAUGAAGCAACUGCCAGCAAAAUGCUUGUUGACCCCUUUACAGAUUAUCAUAGCAUUGCUCUAGUUCCAUUCUCUGAUCUGUGUAUUGCCUGCUUCUUCCCUGACUGGUCUGGAAGGCUGAGCCAACAUGUGGAAGACAGACUUCAUAGAGAGUAUUCUGGACUUGGAAUGGAUUUUAUCUCAAUGACAGGUGCCACUUCCAUUGUGCUGUGUGGAGUUGAUGGCCGCACCUUUCUCUGAGGCUGGCUAUGCGAAUACAAAUGGACAAGAUCACAAUAACUCCUAUUCCAGGGAUGGCAAAUACAUGUCACUUCUCAUCCCACCACUAGAUGAGCGUUCCCUGCAUAGAGUACCAUGUUGGAAAUGAUUACGAGGUGACAGGUAGAGUGAAGGGGACAGGAUGCUAUGAGCAAAGGUAAGUUCUGUUGGAGCUCAGGAUGGGAAGGGAUGGCAUGCACGAUCUCUCUGUCCCUCUCAUUUCUUCAGGGCUCAGCUUGGGUGUCCUUCUUUCAGCAAGCCUCCUCUGACCAUGAGUUGAGAAUAGAUGCCCUUUCUCUGAGCUUCUACAGCAACUUGUGAUGAUGAUACUGUCACAUUUCCCAAAUUGCAUUUUUAAUCGUUAUUGAGAUAUAAUGGACAUACAUACUUGUACAACCUGGUAAGUUUUGGCAUAUGAAUAAUCUGUAAAACCAACUCCACAAUUACGUUAGUCAACAUAUCCAUCUCUUCCAAAAGUUUCCUUAUGCUCCGUGGUAAUCUCUCCUGCCAGUCCCUCCCUGCCCCUCG